rnacentral:rRNA from 1 species
AAGUGAGAAUGCCGGUGUGAGUAGCGAAAGACGGGUGAGAAUCCCGUCCACCGAUUGACUAAGGUUUCCAGAGGAAGGCUCGUCCGCUCUGGGUUAGUCGGGUCCUAAGCUGAGGCCGACAGGCGUAGGCGAUGGAUAACAGGUUGAUAUUCCUGUACCACCUAUAAUCGUUUUAAUCGAUGGGGGGACGCAGUAGGAUAGGCGAAGCGUGCGAUUGGAUUGCACGUCUAAGCAGUAAGGCUGAGUAUUAGGCAAAUCCGGUACUCGUUAAGGCUGAGCUGUGAUGGGGAGAAGACAUUGUGUCUUCGAGUCGUUGAUUUCACACUGCCGAGAAAAGCCUCUAGAUAGAAAAUAGGUGCCCGUACCGCAAACCGACACAGGUAGUCAAGAUGAGAAUUCUAAGGUGAGCGAGCGAACUCUCGUUAAGGAACUCGGCAAAAUGACCCCGUAACUUCGGGAGAAGGGGUGCUCUUUAGGGUUAACGCCCAGAAGAGCCGCAGUGAAUAGGCCCAAGCGACUGUUUAUCAAAAACACAGGUCUCUGCUAAACCGUAAGGUGAUGUAUAGGGGCUGACGCCUGCCCGGUGCUGGAAGGUUAAGAGGAGUGGUUAGCUUCUGCGAAGCUACGAAUCGAAGCCCCAGUAAACGGCGGCCGUAACUAUAACGGUCCUAAGGUAGCGAAAUUCCUUGUCGGGUAAGUUCCGACCCGCACGAAAGGCGUAACGAUUUGGGCACUGUCUCAACGAGAGACUCGGUGAAAUCAUAGUACCUGUGAAGAUGCAGGUUACCCGCGACAGGACGGAAAGACCCCGUGGAGCUUUACUGUAGCCUGAUAUUGAAAUUCGGCACAGCUUGUACAGGAUAGGUAGGAGCC